rnacentral:rRNA from 1 species
UGGGGAAUAUUGCACAAUGGGGGAAACCCUGAUGCAGCGACGCCGCGUGAACGAAGAAGGUAUUCGUAUCGUAAAGUUCUUUCCUCUGGGAAGAUAAUGACAGAACCAUAGAAGAAAGCUCCGGCUAAAUACGUGCCAGCAGCCGCGGUAAUACGUAUGGAGCGAGCGUUGUCCGGAAUUAUUGGGCGUAAAGGGUACGCAGGCGGUUUAAUAAGUCGAAUGUUAAAGAUCGGGGCUCAACCCCGCAAAGCAUUGGAAACUGAUAAACUUGAGUAGUGGAGAGGAAAGUGGAAUUCCUAGUGUAGUGGUGAAAUACGUAGAUAUUAGGAGGAAUACCAGUAGCGAAGGCGACUUUCUGGACACAAACUGACGCUGAGGUACGAAAGCGUGGGGAGCAAACAGG